rnacentral:piRNA from 1 species
UGGGUUUUUUAUUGUGGAACU